AUCUCUUCCUUCAAAAUUUCAUUUCAACGAUCUAACCUUCUGUUUCCUUCAUUCUUCUUGCCAUGUAAUGUUGGCCUGAUAUUUUAAUUAUGAGUCAAUUCCAUUUCGCAGCAUACAGUUUCAGUAGUUCUACAUCUCCAGCUUCCAUUAGAAUGGAGAAGAAAUAAUUGAGGCUAAGGCAGCGAAUCAAGAAAUGUGAAGGAGAUGAAGGUACUCUAAGAUCCAAUCAUGCACAGGAGUUGCAAAAAGAUGCUGGAGAUGGAUGUCAACUUUGUUGAUUCAGAUGCUAUGGGGUUAACAUUUGUCAGGGAAAUUGAAGAGUUCGGAUCCAGGAAAACCAUGGCGCUGUGCUUUGGAUGGAACAACAUUGUUGUCAAUAGUAAGAACAAAAGUAUGUACAUCUUAUUCAGCAUUGCUUCGUCAAAUCAAUCUGAGGUUAGGUUGCCUAUUUUGCAAACGGUCUUGCUGAUAUGCUUUGUAAGCCAAGGCUGGUGAAAAGCUUUUUCCAAGCUAUAGACCUGAAAGGUCUUGAUUGUGCUUUACUUGGAGGUGAUAAUCCUAUUCUUUUAAUAGAUUGGAAAGAGCAUGCCGAGUAGGAAGGCUACACAGAAACCUUGACGAAUAGAUUUGCUGGUUCUGGAAGGUUGUAGAGGCUGUCUAUGGAGCAGCAAGAGGGAGCUUCUUUUAUUUUGGACCUCAUUGAAAUGCCUACAAGUAAAUGGUUUUUCUGGCUUGCCUUGUCUUUUGACCAUAUACGAGACACCUGGUUCUGAUGAGCGCCUUUGUCACUUCCACAUUACCAUCGCACAACAUCAUCUCUCUUUUAAGUAUCUGCCAACAACAUGUAGGCUGUAUUUCUGGGCUUGAGGAACUCAUUUCUGGAUCAACAGGACAACUCGCUGUACCCACGACCCAACCUAUAAUAUGUCCAGCAUUUGUAGUUCUGAAAAUUGAAUAUUCAAUCUGAAUGCUUGAAAUAGUAUUUCAUUUUGUAUUGAAAAAUGCAGCUAGCAUUUUGCAUUCAUGGUUCAUUCGAAUUGACAACUGUUCAGGUAAAUUUUGUCACCUUAGAAAUAUUAAAAAAAU